GUGGGGAAUCUUAGACAAUGGGGGAAACCCUGAUCUAGCCAUGCCGCGUGAGCGAUGAAGGCCUUAGGGUUGUAAAGCUCUUUCAGCUGGGAAGAUAAUGACGGUACCAGCAGAAGAAGCCCCGGCUAACUCCGUGCCAGCAGCCGCGGUAAUACGGAGGGGGCUAGCGUUGUUCGGAAUUACUGGGCGUAAAGCGCGCGUAGGCGGUCCAGAAAGUUGGAGGUGAAAUCCCAGGGCUCAACCUUGGAACUGCCUUCAAAACUCCUGGUCUGGAGUUCGAGAGAGGUGAGUGGAAUUCCGAGUGUAGAGGUGAAAUUCGUAGAUAUUCGGAGGAACACCAGUGGCGAAGGCGGCUCACUGGCUCGAUACUGACGCUGAGGCACGAAAGUGUGGGGAUCAAACAGGAUUAGAAACCCCUGUAGUCC
rnacentral:rRNA from 1 species